AUUGAACGCUGGCGGCAGGCCUAACACAUGCAAGUCGAGCGGAGCGGCGGACGGGUGAGUAAUGCCAAGGAAUCUGCCUGGUAGUGGGGGAUAACGUCCGGAAACGGGCGCUAAUACCGCAUACUCUCAGACGAGCCUAGGUCGGAUUAGGUAGUGGUGGGGGUAAAGGCAUACCAAGGCGACGGUCCGUAACUGGUCUGAGAGGAUGAUCAGUCACACUGGAACGGAGACACGGUCCAGACUCCUACGGGAGGCAGCAGUGGGGAAUAUGGGAAAAUGGGCGAAAGCCUGAUGCAGCCAUUCCGCGUGUGUGAAGAAGGUCUUCGGAUUGUAAAGCACUUUAAGUUGGGAGGCGUUACCAACAGAAUAAGCACCGGCUAACUUCGUGCCAGCAGCCGCGGUAAUAC
rnacentral:rRNA from 1 species